AGUUAUGACCGAGCUGACACGAAGACAGAGUCUCACCGGCCGCGAGGGUGAGACUGUUGAACUUUCGAGGCUGUAUUUACUCCUCGUUCACGGCCUCGACGCCGGCGAGUGGGGCGGCGCGUUCCUCCCCAACCGCAGCAAUUGCAUCACUCGUCCUCCCAUCACAGCCACUUCCUUCCUCCUCGCCCGCGGUACCGCCGGUUCCAGACGCAUGUGUACGAACACCAAUUCGACUCCCGCCGGCGCCGUCCCGCCUUCCGCGUGCGUGACGCGGUGACCUGUGAGUCCAUCGUGCUUCUGUGCCCUGCCCGGCGUCUCUGCUUCCGGCCCUCCGCUUGCCGAAACGCGGUGCGCCGGCGCCGUCCUCCCAAGCCAGGCGCCGUCCGCUGCUGCUGGUGCAACCUGCACCAAGGCAACAGGUCAGAAUGGGUCACAACUUAGGCGAAGGUUCUGAGUUUGAUGAUUGGAAAGCCAAAAUUUAUGCAGGUCCGAUCUCAGGAGAAUUAAAAGUUAAGAAUGGUGAAAGAUACAAGUGCCCAUUCUGUUGCACUGAGAAAAAGGGAUAUUGCAAAAUAGAUGGCUUGCUUCGGCACGCCUUGAUCAUAGAAGGUGCUUCAACCAAAUUUGAGGAGAGGGCAACCCACAGUGCCCUCGUCGAGCAUUUGAAGAGUAGCCUUGGUAAAUCAUCUGAGCCACAGUCCCAGCAGGUAGCCUUGAAGCCAAGACUUGCUGAGAACAGAGGUAAGCAAUAUGUCAGGCCAUGGACGGGUGUUCUAGUUAACGUGCCUACCAAAUGGGAAGAUGGCUGUCAGGUUGGGGCAAGAACAAAUCGGUUGAAGGAGCAACUAUCACGCUUUUGCCCGCUAAAGGUCACUGCUUUAUGGAAUUCUAGAGGUCAUACAGGGACUGCGAUUAUUGAAUUUGGAAAUGAUUGGAGUGGAUUUGGAAAUGCACGUGCCUUUGAAAGUUACUUCAUGACAGAAGGCCAUGGUAAAAGGGACUGGAAGAAAAAAGAGAAUGGGUAUUCAGGGCUGUUCGGAUGGGUCGCAAUGGAUGAAGAUUACUUCUAUCAGGGACCAACUGGGGCCCACUUGAGAAAAAAGGGUAACUUGAAAACCAUCAAUGAUAUUGAGAAUGAAGGAAUAAGGAAAACAGGUAAACUUGUGGCUGAUUUAGCUAGCCAACUUGAGGUAAAGAAUAGGCAUUUAAAUGAGCUUGAAUGUGAAUACAAUGGAAUAAUUACGUUACUUGACAAGAUGGUGGAGGAAAAGGAAAAGCUUAUCCUGUCACACAAAAAAUGUAUCAGUGAGGAGCAGCAGCAAGCUCGCAGACGUUCACAGGCUAUCAUUGAUAAGAAUCAAAAGCUGCGUUCGGAACUGGACUCCAAGUUAAAUGAACUUGAUGUGAGAACCAAACAGCCUGAUGAUCUUGCUGCAAGAAGUAAUUGUGAAAGGAGGAGCAAUGAACAAGAGAAGCAGAUGGUGUGUGAUUUCUUGCCUGCAUCCUUCUCAUCUUUUGUUAAUGAACAUUUAGCCUAUAGAUUUCCAUUUGGCACUAACACGAUGGGCCGGCCCGAGCACGACACGAAGAAGCACGGUCCAGGAACGGCCCGGCCCGACACCCAUCGUGCCAGUGCCUGGCACGGCCCGUAGGUAGUGCCGGGCCUGGGCUGGCAAUCUGGCCCACAGUGCCGGCACGGGCACGGCACGGAAAUUGGGCCGGCACUAUACAGGCCCGAUUCGUAUGAACCGUUGGAUGUUUGAUAUUCUUCCUAAGCCGUUGGAUGUACUCGAUUGAAAAACCCUAGAAUAAAAACACUCAUCCCAGCCUCCCAUCCCUCCCCGCGCCGCUAUCUUGCUCGCGCCGGCGCCGCUCUCUCUCGCUCGCGGAGCUGCUCCCCGCGGGCGAGCGCAGGCGGCGGCGGCGCGGCCUCCCGUAGGCGAGCCCCCUUAGCACCUGGCGCCGCGGCGGCGGCAGAGCGGGUCGCGGCCGGCGCGGGCACGCCGGGCUACCGUGCUCGACUGCACAGCACAGCACGGCUAACCGCCCAUAGGGCCGUGCCAGGGCCGAGAUGUCGGCAUGGCGGCACUACACGGCUAAGCCACCGUGCCGUAUAAUGCCGUGCCGCAUAGUGCCGUGCCGCGCCGUGCCCGUGCCAGUGCCGUGCCAUGCGGCCCGGUUGGCCAUGUAUAAUUUAGCCACCUUUUUUUCUUUAUAAAUUGUGUGUAAUUAUGUUGGCUGCUUUUGUUACAAUCUUUUUUGACGAGACUGCUGUUAUUAUCUUCAUGCCAUGGCAUCUUACAUACUUUGAUUUGGGAUCAGUGCCGAAGGUUUGGCCAAGUGCUUCUUGAAAUAUGUGCUCUAACAUGGUUUUGCUGUUGCUUGUUUCAUAAUGCUAUGAAAUCAAGCCAUCUUAAGAUGGCAAUGCUAGAACAAGAGAGAGCUGAGGAGAAUGUGCUGAAGCGUCUGGAAGAACAAGUGGCCAACAUUCUGCACCAUACAACAUUACAGGUGUAAUCGCCGUUCUAUAAAACUUGCCUUUUAGCUUCAAUGGUACCCUCUUGUCAUAUAAAAUUCUUGAUGCUAGGCGCCACUUCAUCCACCCCACUUUGAUUCUAUGACUAACAUCCUCAUCAAUAUCCCCAUCUCAUUGUAGCAUUGAUGAAGGUUCAGAAUCAAAGAAAAAAUGGAUAAGUUGACUAAGGUUCUGAAAGAAUAGGAGGAUAAACUGGGAAAAUUGCAGUCAGACACCAACGCUUUGAUUGUCAAGGACAAAGAAAGCAAUGCUAUGUUGGAAAAAGCUCGAAAAGAGCUUGAAAAAGGCUUUGAUGACCUUUCAACAAGUGGCCGAGCACAUAUAGGAAUCAAAAUAGCUGGGCAGCUUGAUCAGAAACCUUUUUUAAAUGCUUGUCGACGGAGGCCAUCAGAAGGGGAUUUACAACUUGAUGCUGUCAAACUUUGUUCAAAGUGGCAAGAAGAAGUUAAAAAUUCAAAUUGGCAUCCAAUAAAGGUUGUCGAGGUUGAUGGGAAGGAGCCGGAGAGGAUAAUCGAGGACGACGCCAAGCUCCGGGAGCUAAAACAGGAGUACGGUCAAGAAGUCUAUGAAGCAGUGACAAAGGCGCUGCUCGAGAUGGACGAGUACAAUGCCAGCGGCAGGUACUGUAAACCGGUGGUGUGGAACUUCAAGGCAGACCGGAGAGCGCUGCUGAAGGAAGGCGUCCAGUUCAUCGUAAAGCAGUGGCAAUCGCGCAAGAGGAAGCGCUGAGCUGUUGGACCUGGAUCGGAGUAGCGUUUGGCUGUCGUGUGCUGCUGUCUGCUCUCCACCUGAUGGUCUCGAGCGAUCGAUGUUUUGGUGCACUGAGGCUUGUGCACUGGGUAGUAGUAGAUGAUGGUGACUUGGUGAACCACUAGGAGUCCGUUGCUUCUUGUCACUUGGGAGCACAAGCCAGGCCCUCCUGUUGCACUAUCAGGGUCAGUGAACUUGGACGGAUGUCUCUUUUGUUAUUCCUUUUUGUCAUUUUGUGUAUAAGCAGAACAGACCCUAGCCUUUGUGGCAACCUGGAACUUGCAUUUAUGCUCUCUAUCGUCUCCCUGAUGAGUACCAUUCGAAACAGCCAAGGACAAAUUGAAUUCA